rnacentral:lncRNA from 1 species
UUGAUACAAACAGGAAUGUAGUAUGGGCUCUUAUUUCGUACUUUUUCCCUGAAAUUCCCACUAAUCUGGACACCAUAUUCCAUGUUUUCUUUAGUCUUCUUCAACCUAAAUCUUGCAAAAGAGCAUAUUUAGGCCUUUUGUAGUUUGUUAAUAUUGUCCCAUUGACAAGGAUAAGGCAAAUGUGCUUCAUAAGGACUUGGCAAUUCUUCCCCUGCAAGGUGUCUUUUACGGUAGAGCUAGGUCCGUUCUACUUUACUGUUAUAGAUUAUAGGAAGUAAAUAUUGAUAGAUGGAUUAGUUGCUUAAUUUUAGAGAUUCUAUAAUCAUAGACUUAGUUACCUUCCUGUUUAGAUACCGUCUUUUAUAUAUAAAUAGGUUGUAAUCUUUAUUAUGAAAUACAAUAAUAAAAUAUUAUAUUUCUACAUGGUAUCAGAGCCAGGUUCGUAGAGAUUUAUUUUUUUUCUCUCUCGUCAAGUCUUAAAUUUUUGGAGAUUCAGGACUCCUGUUCUUUUGUGUUAUCCAUUUAGGAUAAUAUUUGUCUCUCACCGUUCACCUAAAGAGGAUGCCAAAGUCGCCUUACAUUUGGAGACCUAGGGUAACAUUUGGAGACUUAGGCUCUAUUCAUUUGGGUUACUCAUAAAUGGUAACAUUUGGAGACCUAGGGCUCUGUUCAUUUGAGUUACUCAUAAAGGGUAACAUUUGGAGACUUAGGGCUCUGUUCAUUUGGGUUACUCAUAAAGGGUAACAUUUGGAGACCUAGGGCUCUGCUCAUUUGGUUAUCCACAAAGGGUAACAUUUGGAGACUUAGGACUCUGUUCAUUUGUGUUACUCAUAAAGGAUAAUAGUUGGAGACUUAGGGCUCUGUUCAUUUGGUUAUCCAUAAAGGGUAACAUUUGGAGACUUAGGACUCUGUUCAUCAGGUAUUGUUCACGGAAAUUAUUUAUCGGGUGCUGUUCACGAGUACUGUUCAUCGGGUACUGUUCACGAGUACUGUUCAUCGGAUACUAUUCACAAGUCAGGAGUACUGUUCAUCGAAUACUGUUCACGGAUUCGAAAUUAUAUUCACAGUAAGGUGAUUAGUCUUAUUAAUCAUUCUGAAUUUGUUUAAAAAAAAUUAAUGGAGCAUUUGGAAUUUCUAUAUUCUGGCAAAGGGAAUAUUUCUCGUAUUUAUGAUGUGUGUAAGGCGUUUUACCAAGCUGAGAAAAUGUGGUCUCCCGUUCUAGUGUUGAACUUGAAUGUCGAGUCAUGGCAAAAACCGUUUAUGAAGUUUUGUGGAUACGUCAAUUAUUGGAAGAAUUUGGGUUCACAAAUUCGGUGUCUACUAAGUUGUAUGGGACGAGUUGAUUAUAUAUGUAACAAGUUGGGUAUGAUUAACAUUUAUGCUCCAACUUGAGGGGGAGUGUUAUAGAUUAUAGGAAGUAAAUAUAUUAAUAUAGGAAGUAAAUAUUGAUAGAUGGAUUAGUUGCUUGAUUUUAGAGAUUCUAUAAUCAUAGACUUAUUUACCUUUCUGUUUAGAUACCUUCUUUUAUAUAUAAAUAGGUUGUAAUCUUUAUUAUGAAAUACAAUAAUAAAAUAUUAUAUUUCUACAUUUACAAAACAUGAUAUCAUAGUCUACCAUAUCUUGAUAUUAGGCCACCAAAAAUGUUCAGUCCUGCGAACUUUACACUACAAUCUAGUAUUGGGCAUGAGGGAUUUCCCACAUUGACCG